rnacentral:rRNA from 1 species
UACGUAGGGAGCAAGCGUGGUCCGGAAUCAUUGGGCGUAAAGCGCGCGUAGGUGGCCACAUAAGCCCGUUGUGAAAGUCAAAGGCUCAACCUUUGAAAGCCGAUGGAUACUGUGUGGCUAGAGUACGGAAGAGGCGAGUGGAAUUCCUGGUGUAGCGGUGGAAUGCGCAGAUAUCAGGAGGAACACCAGUGGCGAAGGCGGCACUCUGGGCCGGUACUGACGCUGAGGAGCGAAAGCGUGGGGAGCGAACAGG